rnacentral:lncRNA from 1 species
CGGGAAGCCCCACUGUUUUUCCCUGUGAUUAUGCUCUUAAACUUUUGUAUGACAUUUAUAAGGAAACAUUUCUUGGUAUCUAAAAAGUUUGAGCCCGUGUUCGUGUAACAACUGUCAACUGACUCCCCCGUUAUAUGAGUUAUACUUCAAUCCAUGAUCGUAUAACGGUCAUGGAUUGAGACCUCUACGUAGACUUCCACUCGUGACUGUACAAAC